CCUAGUGACAGGUGCUGCAUGGCUGUCGUCAGCUCGUGUCGUGAGAUGUUGGGUUAAGUCCCGCACGAGCGCAACCCUCGUCCUUAGUUGCCAUCAUUAAGUUGGGCACUUUAAGGAAACUGCCGGUGAUAAGCCGGAGGAAGGUGGGGAUGACGUCAAGUCCUCAUGGCCCUUACAGGCUGGGCUACACACGUGCUACAAUGGCAUCUACAGUGGGCAGCUAUUCCGUAAGGAUGCGCUAAUCUCCAAAAGAUGUCUCAGUUCGGAUUGUCCUCUGCAACUCGAGGGCAUGAAGGCGGAAUCGCUAGUAAUCGCGGAUCAGCAUGCCGCGGUGAAUACGUUCUCGGGCCUU
rnacentral:rRNA from 1 species